CAGAAGAACGAUGAAAACAAUGAUGUUUCUUAAAAUCCCGAAAUCUAUCUUUCUCCGACUGUAAAACGAAAAUUAAUUUUU